rnacentral:rRNA from 1 species
UGGUUCAACCCUUACAUGCACUAAUGUAUCGGAUUUCAUCAGAACUCCAUAAUUUAACGUGCUUGAGCGAAAGUAGUACUAAAAUGGAUGACCUCUUGAAAAAUCUUCAGUGUUGUAACUC